rnacentral:rRNA from 1 species
UACUGUUGUUCACGCUGUUACCCCCACUACUUGGGCGAGGAGCUGUUCGAGUGGUUGGAAGAGUCACUUCUCAUGUCCUACGAGUGGCCCCACUCCUUCGUCCGGAGGAAAGAGUUCCUGCUCGAGUCGCGGUACUUUCGAGAAGAACUGUUCUUCCUCGAGUACCUACUCGAGCUAGGGAGGUGGUUCUUAACCUCCCUGGUGUAGGCCCUCUACAGGAUACUAUACCUCUUAACGUAGCUGCUGAAAUAAGUAUUGUAGCUUCCACGGCAACGUUUCUUUCCGAAGCAGUCCUUCUACCGAGUCGCGGAGUCCUCCGACCCUUCCGCGGUAGUCUAACGGUCGGCAUAGCUCCUCGAGUUCCAAGAACGCUACCUCCGUUCGCGAGCCGCGCUUCCAUGCUAUAACUACGAACGUAGUUAAGCUCAGGACCGGGACACCGACACCUAGGAGCCUAGGGUCGCGAGAUGUUCCUCCGUCGUUCGGAACAGCCAUAACUACCGGGCUCUCUUCUCGACCACUCAAACGACUACCUAAGCCCCUUCUUUGAGUUUCACGAAAGGUAGCACCCCAAGCCUCCGAACCCCUUUUGGUGGGAACGGUUUGUUCACAUACUAGUCCAACCUCCGGUCAAACUAACGUUACGUAAAAAGAGUCAGAGGGUUUCCGGUCUUCACUUUUCGGAAGAAUUACCGGAUGUUGAUUUCGAACCCUACGCCCUAAUAAGCGUACGAAUGCUCGACGUUCUACAAUAACUGUCGGAAUCUCUUGUGGAGUUUGUAUUUUCCAUUAAUUAAUAUCAACUACUGAAUACCCUAGUUAGACGUACCUCAUGAUAAUCAACACGGAAAGGUCUGCUACGAUGGCCUUCAUCUCAUCACCAUUGGUGUGCUAACCUGCUGCAUCGAUAGUAUGGUACAAACUCACUAGCGUGGACGUAAAUGUCAUACUUCGGUGAGUUUCUCCUUCUGAGUUCUUCUGAUAAAAAAUCAUCCCAUAGAGCCGGGCUUUUACAGACGGAUGGUGUCAAAUUUCUUCAAAGUCGAGUUUAGGAGUUCUUCACACCGCCUAACGGUGAACGUUAAUAGUGGUAUCGACCGGAUAAUCGAUCGGCACUUCGUUCCGGUAACUCACUUACCCUCUCGUAUUUCUUAAGAGAACCGCGGUUCAGACGUUGUUAUGGAUAGAACCUUCUCUACUCCCCAUAUGACUUGGAAUCGAUGUACGUAGAAGGACAAAUAGAAGCCGGUACAAAAAACAUGGAACCGUACAUAGGCCUUCUGGCAGACUAAGACUGCCUACUGGGUCAAGCCGUUACCUAUCGGCUUCCGAAACAAACAUCAAGUGUGCCUCGUCUAAACCUACUACAACGCCUUUCAAUAAAGUUACUCGAACAGUUAUCUUCAGACUAAGUCGGGUAUCUAUGUACAGUACCCUUUCAUCAAUGAACGUCUCAUGUACUAUACUACGAACUAAACUGGGAUUCGUUCUCAUUUCUUCUAUUAAAAUAGUUACAUCGUAUAUUGAUACUUCUGUACCAUUCUAGCACGUUAAGACUCAUGUUCCAAGCAGCUAAUAGGGAGGUUAGUACACAUCCACCACGUUUCAGCCUCCGGGAACGAUGAUCGUACCGUGUGCAAGCUAGUAUACGUGCCACCGGUUUCAGGGUUAUGUGUGGAGGGGAAAGUGUCAAAUUCAUAGAUGCCCACGAACGGAAACUCAGGGGCGUACCAAACCUUUGCUGUCAACUGGAGUGACGUUAGCCGGUAAACUAAAAUGACUCUCUAAAUUUACAAAGUCGGGGUCCUCUUCAGUAUCGCGAGGGCUGUCUUUAAGUUCCCGAACACGUAAACGAUUGGAACCACUAUCUAACGUUCGCCCGAGUUUCGAAAGGAAAUCUGUAUUCAACAAACCGGUUGAACGAAGUAAACCACGAAGGUAUACCACAUCCCAACGGACUUCCCUAGUUCUUCUACUUUAGUUAGGCGUGGGACUUUACAACCCUAUACAGCCUCUCAAGCGACCUUCUAUAGUUUCCGGAACCACUCGACUGGUUAGACUUCCUUAACGUGAAUUCGUGAACCUCGUUCACGAAGUGGAACCUUGUUCUCCUACGAAACCAGAGGAGCGAGGCUUACGAGGUUCCGGAGUUCCCCUAGCCAACCUGAGUUCCUACGUCACGGGGACUGUUGUUCUAUCAACUUGAUUAAUCUCCUCCAUGAGCUACACGAGUUUACCUUCUAAUCUUCUCAAGGGUUUACCUAACCACUCGAUACAUACAACGGAGGUCUAGGAACUAAACACACAGAACGUGGACAGCCCACUACUCCAAACUCCGUCCUCGAUACCGGUUCGAAUCCGUGUUUUCGAGUGGGAUGUUAACCCGACCUUUCUCACCUCUCCGGAGGUUCUGUAGUUCCAGACCGCGGUUAUGUAUGUCGGCGUUCCUCAGGUACCUUUUAGUGCUCCUACAUGCGCGAGUUCAACUCAGACGGAAGUUCCCGCGGCGUUCAGACGUGGGUUCCGUAGGGAGACAAAG